ensembl:snoRNA SNORA71 Small nucleolar RNA SNORA71
UCCUCAGAGUAGCAAAGUGGCCGUGGCUGGUCUGUAGCCAGGGUCAUUGAUAGUACAGGAAUAAAAACUGAGCGCUUUUCCCGUGUUUGAAGGAUUAAUAAUUCCUAUCAAUCCCUGUUGCUCUCAUACA